CUGCUCACUUCGGCAGCACAUAUUCUAAAAUUGGAACGAUACAGAGAAGAUUAGCAUGGCCCCUGCUCAAGGAUGACAUGCAAAUUCCAUAUUUUU
rnacentral:snRNA from 1 species